UGUAACAGCUAAGUCUCAAUUUUCUCAGGA
rnacentral:piRNA from 1 species